CCUACGGGGGGCAGCAGUGGGGAAUAUUGGACAAUGGGGGCAACCCUGAUCCAGCCAUGCCGCGUGUGUGAAGAAGGCCCUCGGGUUGUAAAGCACUUUCAGUGAGGAAGAACGCCUGGUGGUUAAUACCCAUCAGGAAAGACAUCACUCACAGAAGAAGCACCGGCUAACUCCGUGCCAACAGCCGCGGUAAUACGGAGGGUGCGAGCGUUAAUCGGAAUUACUGGGCGUAAAGCGCGCGUAGGUGGCUUGAUAAGCCGGUUGUGAAAGCCCCGGGCUCAACCUGGGAACGGCAUCCGGAACUGUCAAGCUAGAGUGCAGGAGAGGAAGGUAGAAUUCCCGGUGUAGCGGUGAAAUGCGUAGAGAUCGGGAGGAAUACCAGUGGCGAAGGCGGCCUUCUGGACUGACACUGACACUGAGGUGCGAAAGCGUGGGUAGCAAACAGGAUUAGAUACCCUAGUAGUC
rnacentral:rRNA from 1 species